rnacentral:snRNA from 1 species
AUCUUUGCGCUUGGGGCAAUGACGCAGUUAGUGAGGUGAAACCGAGACGCGUCAAUUGCUGGUUGAAAACUAUUUCCAAACCCCC